rnacentral:rRNA from 1 species
ACUUUCGCAUGAAAGAAGUUUAAAAGGACGGCGUAAGCUGUCGCUAAGGGAUGGACCUGCGAUGCAUUAGCUAGUUGGUAAGGUAACGGCUUACCAAGGCGAUGAUGCAUAGCCCGAGUUGAGAGACUGAUCGGCCACAUUGGGACUGAGACACGGCCCAAACUCCUACGGGAGGCAGCAGUAGGGAAUCUUCCACAAUGGACGAAAGUCUGAUGGAGCAACGCCGCGUGAGUGAAGAAGGUUUUCGGAUCGUAAAGCUCUGUUGUUGGUGAAGAAGGAUAGAGGUAGUAACUGGCCUUUAUUUGACGGUAAUCAAUUAGAAAGUCACGGCUAACUACGUGCCAGCAGCCGCGGUAAU